AUCCACAGCCAUAUCACCCUGCAGCCCAAGACCGGUUACUCACUGAAGCGAAACAGGGCUAAGCCUAGCCAGUGCCUGGAUGGGAGACCACAUGGGAAAACCAGGUUGCUGUUGGAA
rfam:Danio rerio chromosome 5, GRCz11 reference primary assembly.